GGGGAAAUAGCUCAGGGGUAGAGCGCUUGCUUAGCAGAAAUCCGUCAAGAUUUGCAUGAGGCCCGGGGUUCAAUUCCCCGUUUCUCCA